rnacentral:rRNA from 1 species
AGGACGAACGCUGGCGGCGUGCUUAACACAUGCAAGUCAAGGGGGCCCAGUAGCAAUACUGGGCAACCGGCGAACGGGUGCGUAACACGUGAGCAACCUACCGAAAUGUGGGGGAUAGCCGGCCUAACGGCCGAGUAAUACCGCAUACGCUCUCGAUGAGGCAUUUCAUUGAGAGGAAACCUACGGGACAUUUCGAGGGGCUCGCGGCCUAUCAGCUAGUUGGCGAGGUAACGGCUCACCAAGGCAACGACGGGUA